UAACAAGGAUUCCCCUAGUAACUGCGAGUGAAGCGGGAAGAGCUCAAAUUUAAAAUCUGGCGGUCCUUUGGCCGUCCGAGUUGUAUUCUGGAGAAGUGCUUUCCGCGCUGGACCGUGUAUAAGUCUCUUGGAACAGAGCGUCAUAGAGGGUGAGAAUCCCGUCUUUGACACGGACUACCAGUGCUUUGUGAUGCGCUCUCAAAGAGUCGAGUUGUUUGGGAAUGCAGCUCAAAAUGGGUGGUAAAUUCCAUCUAAAGCUAAAUAUUGGCGAGAGACCGAUAGCGAACAAGUACCGUGAGGGAAAGAUGAAAAGCACUUUGGAAAGAGAGUUAAACAGUACGUGAAAUUGUUGAAAGGGAAACGCUUGAAGUCAGUCGCGUUAGCCGGAACUCAGCCUUGCCUUCCGCUUGGUGUAUUUUCCGGUUGACGGGCCAGCAUCGAUUUUGACCGCUGGAUAAGGGCUAGGGGAAUGUGGCACCUUCGGGUGUGUUAUAGUCUCUGGUCGUAUACAGUGGUCGGGAUCGAGGACCGCAGCUUCGGGUUAGGAUGUUGGCGU
rnacentral:rRNA from 1 species